rnacentral:rRNA from 1 species
UGAGGAAUCUUGCGCAAUGGGGGAAACCCUGACGCAGCAACGCCGCGUGAGUGAGGAAGGUCUUCGGAUCGUAAAGCUCUGUCAGGUGGGAAGAAGUGCAUGGGAGUGAAUAGCUGUCAUGCUUGACGGUACCGCCAGAGGAAGCACCGGCUAACUCCGUGCCAGCAGCCGCGGUAAUACGGGGGGUGCAAGCGUUGUUCGGAAUCAUUGGGCGUAAAGAGCGUGUAGGCGGCGUGAUAAGUCAGAUGUGAAAGCCCUGGGCUUAACCCAGGAAGUGCAUUUGAAACUGUCAGGCUUGAGUAAGGGAGAGGGAAGUGGAAUUCCUGGUGUAGAGGUGAAAUUCGUAGAUAUCAGGAGGAACACCGGUGGCGAAGGCGACUUCCUGGCCCUAUACUGACGCUGAGACGCGAGAGCGUGGGUAGCAAACAGG